GAUAUUGGCCAUACCGCCUUUGCUAUGCCCGAUCCCAUCAGAUCUCGGAAGCUAAGCAGGGUAGGGCCUGGUUGGUACUUGGAUGGGAGACCACCAGGGAACACCAAGAGGCCUGGGUCA
rnacentral:rRNA from 1 species